GGGUGAGUAACACGUAUCCAACCUGCCGUCUACUCUUGGACAGCCUUCUGAAAGGAAGAUUAAUACAAGAUGGCAUCAUGAGUCCGCAUGUUCACAUGACUAAAGGUAUUCCGGUAGACGAUGGGGAUGCGUUCCAUUAGAUAGUAGGCGGGGUAACGGCCCACCUAGUCUUCGAUGGAUAGGGGUUCUGAGAGGAAGGUCCCCCACAUUGGAACUGAGACACGGUCCAAACUCCUACGGGAGGCAGCAGUGAGGAAUAUUGGUCAAUGGGCGCAGGCCUGAACCAGCCAAGUAGCGUGAAGGAUGACUGCCCUAUGGGUUGUAAACUUCUUUUAUAAAGGAAUAAAGUCGGGUAUGUAUACCCGUUUGCAUGUACUUUAUGAAUAAGGAUCGGCUAACUCCGUGCCAGCAGCCGCGGUAAUACGGAGGAUCCGAGCGUUAUCCGGAUUUAUUGGGUUUAAAGGGAGCGUAGAUGGAUGUUUAAGUCAGUUGUGAAAGUUUGCGGCUCAACCGUAAAAUUGCAGUUGAUACUGGAUAUCUUGAGUGCAGUUGAGGCAGGCGGAAUUCGUGGUGUAGCGGUGAGAUGCUUAGAUAUCACGAAGAACUCCGAUUGCGAAGGCAGCCUGCUAAGCUGCAACUGACAUUGAGGCUCGAAAGUGUGGGUAUCAAACAGGAUUAGAUACCCUGGUAGUCCACACGGUAAACGAUGAAUACUCGCUGUUUGCGAUAUACAGCAAGCGGCCAAG
rnacentral:rRNA from 1 species